UCCUUUGUGAAAAAAAUACACGAUCUUAACCCCCCAAGCCGGUGGCCCCUAAAUCUCUCUCUUUGAAAAAGAAAAGCGAUCUCUCUCUCUCUUUCUCUCUCCAAGAAGAUCUCUCUCUCUCUUUCUCUCUCCAAGAAGUGAUCUCAUCGUCGAACUCCUCCAGGUCCUUCAGCCCUCCUCCUCCGCGAUCUCUCCGUCGAGCUCCACCUCCGCCUUCACCCCUCCUCCUCCGUGAUCUCGCCGUCGACCUCCUCCUCCGCCUUCACCCCUCCUCCGUGAUCUCGCCGUCGAGCUCCUCCUCCGCCUUUCUCUCGAGCUCUCUCUCUGGAUCCCUCUCUCAAUCAGCGAGCGCAGGGUGAAAAGGCCCCCAUUAACCCAUUUUGUUAGAAGAAAGAGAAGAUCGCAUAGGAUGUUUGCGAAGAUAUAGCUUGAUAUUAGAGGUAUACAAGAAACCAUGAAAAUAUACUCACUCUAUCAGAAGGUGUACAUCAAAUUUACCAUCUUUCGUUAAGUACUAGAUGAUUUAUGUUAGAGCAACUACUCCAUUGAUGAGUUUUCGUUGGUUCUGCUCUUUCCAAAUCAGCCAGAUGGUUGCCAUCAUUGUUCUAAUCUUAUUGUUAAUCACGGCUGAUAUUAGAUUCUCAAAAGUCCUAAAUCAUGACAGACCAACAGGAAACUUGAAACUGAGUGAAACGUGAGCAUUCUUAAAAUAUUUAAAUAUUCUAAAAUGGAAAGGAAUACUCUGACAUCUAUUUUCUCUUUCCCCCUUCAAAUUGAUUUUGUUGCUUGCUUUUCAGCCUAUGGUAUAUGGAAACCCAGGAGUUGCAAUGGUUCCAAUGAUAUUGCCUGAUGGCCGCCCCGGAUAUGUCAUGCAACUAGGCCAAGUUGUGGAGAAGAAAAAGAGCAAUCUUGGGAGAAGAAGAGGAAACAGAGGCACAUCCAAUGCAUUUACAUUGAUAAAUAUGUGGGCACAUCCAAUGCAUUUACUGGAAGUGAUUGUAAACUGGUCUUACGUAUUAACUCUUUAGUUACUGUUUGUAAACUGGCCUUUUUCAUACAUAAGGAGGCCUAAAGGAUGCAUUAACUCUUGAAUUCCUGUGUAGGCAUUGAAUAUAUGUUAUGUUGAGAUAUGUCCAAGUUUAUAAUCAUUAUGAUUGCAAAAUGUGUAUCAGUAGACAUUGUUGACUCUUCUGCCAAGCAAUUAUUUGGUAUAUCAUUGCGUUGUAUGAAAUUGAAUAUAUGUUAUGUUGAGA